ensembl:lncRNA
GCCUUGGAGCUGCCUCUGGCUCUGUUCUGUGCCUUUGCUCUUGAUGGGCUGCUGGGGCUGCCCUGUGCCGGCUGGAUGCCAUCUCCCUCCGCCAGCCCCUGGGCUUUCUGGAGCUUUACACAGCUCAAAUCCCCUGCGAAUGGAUAAAUGGGCUCUUCAAAGGCAGAAAGGGAAUCUCUUUCCUGGCUGUUGGAGACAUUAGGUGAAUUACUGCUCCAGCGCUUCAGUCCCGCAAAGUUUCUUCAAAGAAACCCCCAGCCUGGAACUGGUGCGGCUCUGCAGAGGGAAACGCCGCACUGUACUUCAAAGAGGAGAAAAUCUGCAGCUGCCGGGAGCCCGCCUGCCCCAGGAGGUGUCACUGUUGGGACUGGCAGGUUCUUUAGAUUUAUGCAGUAGCCAUGUUUGUCAAAGUAUUUGGCUCUGGUGACAUCAUCUUUGUUGAAACGCCGGACAGCAUGAUGAGUCCCAGAUGUUAAUGCACACUGAGAGUCGAGAAAGAAUAAAAUCCAAAGAUCAACACUAACAGCUCUGGAGGAGUGCACUCACUUUGCACUCUGGGGUUGAUGGAUGAAUACGUGAUUUUUUCCAAGGCAUCCUAAAGCUGUUAAACCUUACAGGCCAUUUAAAAGACGGGUAAGAACAAACAACGUGAUUAAAGGGAGCUGCCAAAAGCUGUACAAGUGUCAGCUGCCACCACUGCUCGUUACAUGGAUGAAGCUGUUGACUUUUAAUUUAUAGACAUUUGAGAAGGUGUACGUGAAGACUUGAAAAGAAGGCUUUCUUUUGCUAAAAGAAAAAAGAGAACUGUUAUUAAGAACCUCUGCUGAAAUACACUGAAUUACUUCUGCUGGUCUGUGCUAUUUGCCAAUGAGAUCUUUCUGGUUGUGUCAGAAGAUGUUCAGUCUGUCAUUCAGAUCCUCAAGCAGUGAAAUGGAGGAGAUAGUAUUUGACCAUCUGGCACUGUCUUCUUGGGCUUUACUGACUGCAAAAACAGAAGAUGUUCUGCUGAGUGAUGACUGGUUUUUGUCCUGUCAUGUCCUGAGUUUCCACAUCCCCCUGCUCGAAGAAAUGCCAGUUCUUCCAACCACUUCUUUUUUCCUGGAUACCUGUCAACUGUUCACAUUCAGAGACCUUGGAAGGGUAACCAACUUUGAAGAUUUUGUAGACGGCUUUUUGCCCGAAUGGGAAACUGCUGAGUUUCAUCUCAUCCCUGUAGUGGUUAAUUCCAGGACACUGGGAAAGACCCCGAGCUCUAAACGUUGGAUUAAGAUCUUCACUUCAGCAGCUGAGACAAUCACACUCAGGAAACUGGGAAAAAGAGUCCUGAGGGCAGAAAGAAAGGAGAUCUACCUGGUGGUGGCAGAACAAAAAGAUUACACAACCUUGCAAGAAGAAUGUUAUUUAAGAGAAUCCUCAAAGGCCGCUCUAAGGAUUGCUGCUGAGAAUAAAGCACCUGAGAUGGAUAAUGUUCUUACAACAAAAGAGUUUAAAAUAAAAGGUUCAGUCUUGCAAGAUGUGAAUAUAAGAAGCUAUCUUCAACUGAAAAGUCUAUAGAAGAGAUUUUGGAACAAACAGAAGAUCAACAGGAUCUAAUUGUGAGGAGCGGACGAUACUUCUUCAGAUGGAACUGAAAUGUGAAAUUGCAGAAUUUUAACUUCGGUACCAGGUGCAAAGAGUGAGUAAUGUGGUGAUCAGAAGGAAGGCUGACUGUCUGAAAAGAAGCUGGGCCCAGUAAAACCGGUUGAGAAGGGACACAAUUGCUGUCUAUAAAUUUAUGAUGAGGUGACUACUUCAUCAACUUGGCUUUUCACUGGCACAGAAGAACCAGAAAAUGAACCUGGCACUAGAAGCCUGUGUUUCUUCUGCAGCUGGGAAAGCGAUGGGCCUCUCCAGAGCAAGAUUCACCAAAGCAUAUACAAGACUCUCGAUGCUGGAUGUGAAGGCAGAGAAACAAUUUACUGUUUUAAAACAAAGAGCCUGUUCCUCAGGAGACAUAGACUGAUUCAUGUGAAGGCACACCCCAGUUUCCUUGACUGCAAUGCAAUCCAAAUGCAGGCUUCAAGACCCAAUGGUCAGAGUAUUGGGUCAAGCUGAGAACUUGUGGGUUGUUGUCCUGGGCUCAGCUGCUCAUCUUGCCUCAACCUCUUCAGCAAAAAAUAAGUGGUAUCUCAAGAUGAAUGGCAGGAUAAUACCCAUUUGAAAUAUAAGUGGACAGCAGCAUCAGAUCAAAUGGAUGGUGAAAAGAGACUGAAUGGAAAAUGAUGACAGGGCAAAAAUGUCCCUUCCUACCAACAUCUUCAAUGUUUUCAUUUCCAAGCAUUUGUUAAGCAAGGAAGAGGAUCUCUCUCUAUUUAAUGUAAUUUAGUGAUAAUUCUUUGGAAAAGAGAAAAUAUCCUUUCACAGCUGUAUCAACAAUAUCUUCUCUCUUAAAAGAAAACAGCAGCUGACUUGACAUGUCAAGCAUCACGUAUUUGGCCACGGAAGGCAAGCAUGAGCCAGACUGGUCAAUAGCACUGACUUGGAACAAUGCCACUGAAAAGUUGGUCUGUAAACUGAUGCUACCUUAUUUCUUGGAUUGUAGAAGGGCUUGCUGAGAUUUAGCAGCAAUGCAGAACUACCACAUUCCCGGUAGAUAUUUCUUUUCUUGUUACAUGAGACCCAUGCAUGAAGUGAAAAAGAACAAAUGAACAUCAGGUUUACAUCACCACUGAUAUGUGAAUGAUUGAUCACCCAUUAAAUCACAUACAGAGCUGGUAACAGCACACGGGGUAGCGUUAAAGUAAAAUGUUUGAUAUUCUUUACUCUAAUUAAACAUGGAAAUAAUACGAUGCAGUCUGUAUUGUAAAUGUUAUUGCAGAUUAUAGACCUAAAGGAGAGGUGUUAUGCCACCUUUAUAGCCUCCAGUUCCUGGAGACUGUGACUUAGAGCUGCCUCAGGGCUGCCCUAAAUUACACCAGUUGGUAAUGACUCCCAGAGGGCCGCUAUGCAUCCAGUGGUUGCUGGAGUGUAAAGUACUUUGGCUAUGCCAACAGCCCAUCAUUUCACAAUGGAGGCUGAGAGCAGCUGGCAUAGUGCUUGGAGAAAAUCCCCAAGUAGUGGUUUAAGACAUUUUUCGAACUCUUUUUUUUUUUGUCAUGAGAGUGAUAUAAAAUAAAGGCCAGAUUUCACAAACACACAGGGGCUUUUCCUUUAUUAUUUAAGCAUCUGUAGUCGUGAGUUGAUAAACUGAGAGAUGAGGGUUUCUAUAGGAUUUCAGAGCAGGUAUCAACCCAAUACUGCUUCAGCUUGGCAGCAUUCCAGCUCUUUGCCCUGGCCCCUAUUCCCUGCGUGGUGCAGUGGAGCACCACUGGCUGUCAAAGGCAUACUCCUGGUUUACAUCUCUGUUAGCAAAAGGAGAACUGGAUUCCCCCUUGUAAGUGCCAGAUUUUCGAUUCAGGAUCAUAUUCCAUUCUUCGAUGGAGCUGCCAAAGAUAAAACUUGACUUUCCACAUGUAAAAUGUUUUUGUAAAUGUAUGUGUGACUCAUUCAAUAGCUCAGCCCAUCCUCACUCAGUGAGUGAUGAUUUUUCUGUCCAGUGUGUGGGUGGGCUGACCAUUCUUACGCAAAUCUCAAAUAUAAAAAGUUUUCUUGGACAUUAGGGAAUAAUAUUGGCAGUUUGGGGAUUUUGUUUUGAUGUGAUGCUCACUUAAAGCAUCCUGAAGAUAAUAGCUGACUGCUAGCAGCAGAAACUCACAACUCACAAACUGAGAUGAUGCAGCCCAAAAUUCAGAUGGCUGUGUUUUCAAAUCUCUGAGAUAACAAGCCACUGCUGUUGAUCUUACUAUAAGUUCUAUGAAACAUAAUCAAAAAUAAAGUAAGGGACAGAGAUAUCACAGGUAGGAAAUCCUUUGGGCAGUCACAGGUAGGUGUUGUUCUCAGAUAAAUUUACUAGAGAAAAGUAAGUAUCUUUUCUGUUCUAAAGAGAGUUAUUUUAAAGAGUCACUGAGCUCCAAUAUCACUGAGGAGGAGAAUGAUUUCACGGAGAAAUUUUUCUGGAUGUGAAUUCAUAAAGGACUCACUCUCACAUUGUGUGGAGAAAGAUGAGUGUUAAGACAGAGGGCUGAGCUGUAACCUUCCUAAUGGGAAGAAAAAACUAGAAUUCCCUUCUCUUUCGCAGAGUUCUCUGAGCUAGUCCUGGCUAGCAGACCUGUGUAGGGCAGCAAAAAGACAAAAGAAGGACUGAUUAAAGAAGCUAACAUGGCAUCUUGUCUGCUCCCUGACUGUGCAUCCUUCUGUACACGUGGAAGAGAGAUGGUCUGGCAUUUCUGUCUCUCCCUGCAAGGAUCAAAUGGUGGUGAGAAAACUUCCUUGGUGCUUUGUACCUAUCUGCUGACAGAUGGACACACAAAGAGUUCCCAAAAAAAGGUGAGGAACGUGGAUCAUCAAAUGGUAGUAUAAAACAUAAUAAAAUGGUCAGAAAAAGACAUUAUCUGGCCCAUCGUUCUGCCUGAAGGCAGGAUUGACUUCAGCU